rnacentral:rRNA from 1 species
UACGUAGGCAGCGAGCGUUGUUCGGAAUUAUUGGGCGUAAAGAGCUCGUAGGCGGUCUGUCGCGUCUGCUGUGAAAACCCGAGGCUCAACCUCGGGCCUGCAGUGGGUACGGGCAGACUAGAGUGCGGUAGGGGAGAAUGGAAUUCCUGGUGUAGCGGUGGAAUGCGCAGAUAUCAGGAGGAACACCGAUGGCGAAGGCAGUUCUCUGGGCCGUAACUGACGCUGAGGAGCGAAAAGCGUGGGGAGCGAACAGG